rnacentral:sRNA from 1 species
UUAUCGCGUUAAGGAUAGCAAUGGAAAUCCUUUUUUUUAUACUGAACUGGUUUCAGUAUCUCUUUUAAAAGAGCAGAAAGCUUAAGUAGAAAGAUGCUGAAAUUAAUUCAGCACAAGAAAAAAGAUUGAAAUGAAUAGCCUGUUAAAAC